rnacentral:rRNA from 1 species
GACGAACGCUGGCGGCGUGCUUAACACAUGCAAGUCGAACGGAAAGGCCCUGCUUUUGUGGGGUGCUCGAGUGGCGAACGGGUGAGUAACACGUGAGUAACCUGCCCUUGACUUUGGGAUAACUUCAGGAAACUGGGGCUAAUACCGGAUAGGAGCUCCUGCUGCAUGGUGGGGGUUGGAAAGUUUCGGCGGUUGGGGAUGGACUCGCGGCUUAUCAGCUUGUUGGUGGGGUAGUGGCUUACCAAGGCUUUGACGGGUAGCCGGCCUGAGAGGGUGACCGGCCACAUUGGGACUGAGAUACGGCCCAGACUCCUACGGGAGGCAGCAGUGGGGAAUAUUGCACAAUGGGCGGAAGCCUGAUGCAGCAACGCCGCGUGCGGGAUGACGGCCUUCGGGUUGUAAACCGCUUUCGCCUGUGACGAAGCGUGAGUGACGGUAAUGGGUAAAGAAGCACCGGCUAACUACGUGCCAGCAGCCGCGGUGAUACGUAGGGUGCGAGCGUUGUCCGGAUUUAUUGGGCGUAAAGGGCUCGUAGGUGGUUGAUCGCGUCGGAAGUGUAAUCUUGGGGCUUAACCCUGAGCGUGCUUUCGAUACGGGUUGACUUGAGGAAGGUAGGGGAGAAUGGAAUUCCUGGUGGAGCGGUGGAAUGCGCAGAUAUCAGGAGGAACACCAGUGGCGAAGGCGGUUCUCUGGGCCUUUCCUGACGCUGAGGAGCGAAAGCGUGGGGAGCGAACAGGCUUAGAUACCCUGGUAGUCCACGCUGUAAACGGUGGGUACUAGGUGUGGGGUCCAUUCCACGGGUUCCGUGCCGUAGCUAACGCUUUAAGUACCCCGCCUGGGGAGUACGGCCGCAAGGCUAAAACUCAAAGGAAUUGACGGGGCCCCGCACAAGCGGCGGAGCAUGCGGAUUAAUUCGAUGCAACGCGUAGAACCUUACCUGGGUUUGACAUGGAUCGGGAGUGCUCAGAGAUGGGUGUGCCUCUUUUGGGGUCGGUUCACAGGUGGUGCAUGGCUGUCGUCAGCUCGUGUCGUGAGACGUUGGGUUAAGUCCCGCAACGAGCGCAACCCUUGUUCACUGUUGCCAGCACGUUAUGGUGGGGACUCAGUGGAGACCGCCGGGGUCAACUCGGAGGAAGGUGGGGAUGACGUCAAGUCAUCAUGCCCCUUAUGUCCAGGGCUUCACGCAUGCUACAAUGGCUGGUACAGAGAGUGGCGAGCCUGUGAGGGUGAGCGAAUCUCGGAAAGCCGGUCUCAGUUCGGAUUGGGGUCUGCAACUCGACCUCAUGAAGUCGGAGUCGCUAGUAAUCGCAGAUCAGCAACGCUGCGGUGAAUACGUUCCCGGGGCUUGUACACACCGCCCGUCAAGUCAUGAAAGUUGGUAACACCCGAAGCCGGUGGCCUAACCGUUGUGGGGGAGCCGUCGAAGGUGG